CACAAGUAACUGAAGUAAGAUCAUCAAGUGCAGAAUGAAAGGAAUGCAGUUUAAAGUUUAAAAGGUGAUACGUAAACUCGUAAAGGUAGCAGAAUAAGAUAUUUCGUCAACAAUCUGGAAUCAAUAACAGAUGUAGAAGCAUCUAGAAGCACUCCUCGUCUGUUCUGAUGUGUGUGCUCUGUGUGUGCUGCGGUUGAGGACGAGAUACAAAUUUGCAGGGAUGAAUAUUACGAGAAAAUGUGAAAGGUGCAUGAAGCCUGUACUGUCAACUAUUGUGUUAAAAAUCCUGGUAUCCUACUGAAUGUGUCAUCAAAGUGACAGAGUGGAUUCAUCACUAUUAUCGGCUGAAUCAUUCUAUGGGACUUGCCAGAUCACCAACCCCAGCAUGGACCAAUCUCUCAUUCCAUCUUCUAGAGAAGCUUGGAUAACUGAUUGGCGGUUUAGUGUGUCCUUAGGUUUCUAAUGUAGCAUGACCGACUUUAUGAGAAGUUAUGACCAUUGAACAAAAAGGACAAUGACUAUACACUUGUACAGUCAAGGUAACCCGUUGGCUGCUACCCUUGAAUAUAUCCCCUUUUACUUCAUGAAAAUGUUAACAGGCCCUCUUGAUUUGAGGUAACUCCUUCGCUACUUAUCAUGGACUUCAUCCAUUGGUGAAAACCAAUGACAUCCAGGAGGAAAAAAGUGUGCUGGUCGAACGGGGACUUGCAAGCUAAGCCGGAAGCCUACUAUAUGAUUAAUCGCUCUCGUAAUAACUGUUCCUCAACUCUUCGCUUAUUUUCCGGUUUCUCCUUCCAAUCCCUGUCUGCAGUCAAUUAAGGCAGUGUCUCCCCCUGUCUUGAUUGAUUGCAUUUUGCAUGUGCGAGUUUUUAAAGCAAUUUAUCACCCAAAUGACACAAAAGAAGUUGGUUAGGUUUGUUUUAUUUGGGUAUAAAUUGUUUUAAAACUUGUACUAAUAAUCAAUUGCCUUGUACCGGACGCUCUGUUUAUUAAAUUUGUAAUAAUUUUGG
rnacentral:lncRNA from 1 species